rfam:Xenopus laevis strain J chromosome 3L, whole genome shotgun sequence.
CUUGUGAUGGCCAAGUGAGUGAGGCAUACCACUUGAAAUCCAAUGGGGUCUCCCUGCACAGGUUCAAAUCCUGUUCACAGUG